GACGAACGCUGGCGGCGCGCUUAACACAUGCAAGUCGAGCGAUGAAACUUUAACAGAACCCUUUGGGGGGGAGACAAAGUGGAUUAGCGGCGGAGGGGUGCGUAACACGUGAGUAACCUGCCCUUGACAUUGGGAUAGCUUCGGGAAACCGGGAUUAAUACCAACUAAAAUCAUAAUGACACAUGUCAUAACGAGCAAAACUCCGGGGGUCUAAGAUGGACUCGCGUCCCAUUAGCUAGUUGGUAGAGUAAAAGCCUAACAAGGCGACGAUGGGUAGCCGGGCGGAGAGGGUGAACGGCCACAUUGGAGCUGAGAAACAGUCCAAACUCCUACGGGAGGCAGCGGUGGGGAAUAUUGCGCAAGGAAGGGAAAUCUGAUGCAGCGGCGCCGCGUAAACGAAGAAGGCUUUCGAGUCGUAAAGUUCUUUUAUAUGGGAAGAUAAUGACGGUACCAUAAGAAGAAGCCCCGGCUAACUACGUG
rnacentral:rRNA from 1 species